rnacentral:tRNA from 1 species
GGCGCCUUGACCGAGAGGCUAGGUACCGCUCUGCAAAAGCGGGCACACGGGUUCGAGUCCCGUAGGCGCCUCCA